AGGACGAACGCUGGCGGCGUGCUUAACACAUGCAAGUCGAACGGAAAGGCCCUUCGGGGUACUCGAGUGGCGAACGGGUGAGUAACACGUGGGUGAUCUGCCCUGCACUUCGGGAUAAGCCUGGGAAACUGGGUCUAAUACCGGAUAUACCUCAUGGGAUGCAUGUUUUGUGGGGAAAGCUUUUGCGGUGUGGGAUGGGCCCGCGGCCUAUCAGCUUGUUGGUGGGGUGAUGGCCUACCAAGGCGUCGACGGGUA
rnacentral:rRNA from 1 species